rnacentral:lncRNA from 1 species
CGCACAUGCAUUUCACCGCAAAACCCAAAGACCCACUUAGGUGUCCCCUCUCUCCGCAGAAGAGAGAGCUUUUCCCUUUCUCUCUGUUAAACCUCUUCUCUUAAACUCACUUCUUGCGUGUCCUCGUCCUCGAUUUCCUUGGCGUAAGACGACGAACCUCAGGCAUUUACCCCAGACAACGAAGGUGCUUCAUAAGGUCAUGCAGCUGGUUGGCUUCAUCCUUAGGCUGCCUCUACAGUGGAAACAAGAUGGUGGCUACAUAUUCAGAAGAAGAGUGACAUCUUCUCUUCCACGCACCCCCUUGAAGCUCAUUGGCUCUAACUGGUUAUGUGUGAAUCUUUAAACUGUGGCUUGGGGGAUUAGACUGAUUAGCUGAUUGGCUUCAGGGAGUUGAUACCCAUUCCUGGAGUUAGGGAUGGGGUCAUUCCCAAUCAAUUAUAUGGCAGACAUUUGGGGGAGGGAUGUUCCUCCAAAGGGAAACUGGCUUGUAAUUACCCGAAAGGCAGCCAAAACAACAGAUGUCCACUACAGAGAAUGUGUUUGAAGGAUGAGUUAAUUGGACCUAAUUAUGGCCCAAUUUUUAUUUGUUUUUUUUGAAAUGAUGAGUUGAUUCCUUCUGAUGAUAGAUGAGCUAAUCACCAUUUCUGGUAGUUUUCGUUCAUAUCCCACUUAGUUGACUCCUAGAGUUUUCUUUUAUUGCUUUGCCCAUACCAAUGAAUGCUUUCUCCCCCAUUACAUCUUCAGUGUCUCACCCAAAACUGAGCUCAUAGUUUCAAGUCAAAGCAGAAUACAGGAGCUGUGAUUCUCAUUCAGAGUGUUUUUUUUGUCUCCAAAGCCUAAAGACACUCCAAAGAGUCAGUGUCUUUCUGACCUGUAAGUUCAUGUUACACGUGCAGACAGAACUUGUAUGUGGUGAUCAGACACCCCCAAACAAAUGCAUUGAAGGGGAAUCUAGUUGGAGUCUAUUUAUUUAUUUCGAGACAGAGUCUCCCUCUGUCACCCAGGAUGGAGUGCAGUGGUGUGAUCUCGGCUCACUGCAACCCUCACCUCCCAAGUUAAAGCAAUUCUCGUGCCUCAGCCUCCCGAGUAGCUGGAAUUACAGGCUUGUGCCACUGCACCACUAAAAAUACUAAUUUUUGUAUUUUUAGCAGAGAUGGGGUUUCACCGUGUUGGCCAGGCUGGUGCUGAACUCCUGAUCUCAAGUGAUCCGCCACCCUUGGCCUUCCAAAGUGCUGGAAUUACAGGCAUGAGCCAUUACGCCUGGCCUGCAUAUUUUUGAACUUGUAGUAUUUGUCUUUGAAAUAGCAGUGAGCUUUUUGAUUCCAAAGUUUUUGAUAUAAGUGCAUGUGUGUGUGUGUGUCUGUGGGUGAAAGAGAGAGAGAGAGAUUGGGAGAGAGAGAGAGAGAGAUUGGGAGAGAAAGAGAGAGAGAGAGAGGAAGGACAAGGGUCAGGUAAGUGUGUCCUGUCUCCCUCCCUCUGGAUCAAAACUCCUGCUGGGUGGGGUGAGAAUGUGUAGUAGCAAAAACUGGAGACAUAUGGGGGAAUCCUCAAGCAGUGGGGUAUGGGCCCCAGUCCCCAUUUGAGACUCUGGGAUGCAAAUGAGUCAUCGGAAGCCCUGCACCAGCACAGAGUGGCUGCAUUAGAGGAACACUGGUGGUGUCGUGUGUUUAUGUAGAGAGGGCUUUCACUGGUGCCUUGGGUCUCUGUCAAUUCCUGAGUGCCUGGGAAUACCUCCAGCACUCCCCUCCACCAUUACCAAGAGAGACAAAGAAAGUAAUUGAAUGUACUAGCUGUCUUUUUAUUUUUUAUUUUUAGUUUUUUAGAGACAGGAUCUUGCUCUGUCACCCAGGCUGAAGUACUGUGGUGUGAUAACAGCUCACUGCAGCCUCGACCUUCAGAGCUUAGGUGAUCCUCCUGCCACAGCCUCCUGAGUAGCUGGGACUACAGGCAUGUGCCACCGUGCUCAGCUAGUUUAAAAAAUAUUUUUUGUGGCCAGACGCGGUGGCUCAUGCCUAUAAUCCCAGCAAUUUGGGAGGCCGAGACGGGCGGAUCACCUGAGUUCGGGAGUUAGAGACCAGCCUGACCAACAUGGAGAAACCCCGUCUCUACUAAAAACACAAAAUUAGCCAAGCGUGGUGGUGCAUGCCUGUAAUCCCAGCUACUCGGGAAGCUGAGGCAGAGAAUCGUUUGAACCCGGGAGGCGGAGGUUGCAGUGAGCCGAGAUUGCACCAUUGCACUCCAGCCUGGGUAACAAGAGUGAAACUCUGUCUCAAUA